ensembl:lncRNA
GGCACCGUGGGGGACAGUGGGGACACCACGAAGGACGGGAGGGCGGUGAGGACUUCGUGGGUGCCCUCAGAGGGGACAUCAGAGGGGAUGGUGGGGUUGUGGGGAUUCCAUAGGGGAUGAGAGGGUCAUGGGGACACUAUAGAGGGCAUGGGGAGUCCUUAGGGGAUGGUGGGGUCGUGGGGACUCCAUAUGGGACAAUGGAGACGCCAUAGAGGACAUGGAGGUGGUGAGGACUACAUAGGUGUCCCGGGGACAUCACAGGGGACGGUGGGGUUGUGGGGAUUCCAUAGGGGACGAGAGGGUCACGGAGACACCAUAGAGGACAUGGAGGGUCCUUAAUGGGGACACCACGGGGGACAUCGGGACACCUUAGGGGAUGAUGGGGUCGUGAGGACACCAUGGGGGAUGUGGGGAGUCCUUAGGAGAUGACAAAGUCACGGGGACACUAUAGAGGGCAUGGGGAGUCCUUAGGGGAUGAUGGGGUCGUGGGGACUCCUUAUGGGACAAUGGAGAUGCCAUAGAGGACAUGGAGGUGGUGAGGACUUCGUGGGUGUCCUCAGAGGGGACAUCACAGGGGAUGGUGGGGUUGUGGGGAUUCCAUAGGGGAUGAUGGGGUCAUGGGGACACCACAGGGGACAUCGGGAGUACUUAGGGGAUGAUGGGGUCGUGGGGACUCCAUAUGGGACAAUGGAGAUGCCAUAGAGGACAUGGAGGUGGUGAGGACUACAUAGGUGUCCCGGGGACAUCACAGGGGACGGUGGGGUUGUGGGGAUUCCAUAGGGGACGAGAGGGUCACGGAGACACCAUAGAGGACAUGGAGGGUCCUUAAUGGGGACACCACGGGGGACAUCGGGACACCUUAGGGGAUGAUGGGGUCGUGAGGACACCAUGGGGGAUGUGGGGAGUCCUUAGGAGAUGACAAAGUCACGGGGACACUAUAGAGGGCAUGGGGAGUCCUUAGGGGAUGAUGGGGUCGUGGGGACUCCAUAUGGGACAAUGGAAAUGACGUGGAGGUGGUGAGGACUUCAU